UACGUAGGGUGCAAGCGUUAAUCGGAAUUACUGGGCGUAAAGCGUGCGCAGGCGGUUUUGUAAGUCUGACGUGAAAUCCCCGGGCUCAACCUGGGAAUUGCGUUGGAGACUGCAAGGCUAGAAUCUGGCAGAGGGGGGGUAGAAUUCCACGUGUAGCAGUGAAAUGCGUAGAGAUGUGGAGGAACACCGAUGGCGAAGGCAGCCCCCCUGGGUCAAGAUUGACGCUCAUGCACGAAA
rnacentral:rRNA from 1 species